UAACACAUUUUAACGAUCAUCAUCUUCAUCAGCAGCAGCCAUGUUCUGCCGUUCUCUUCUGCUGGUUAUUCUGGGGCUCUCCUGCCUUCAGUCCUUCACCAUGGCAGAGAAUGCAAAUGGAGCAGGAUUGUGCUGUUUUGAGUUUCAUAAAAUCCCGGUGCCUCCAACGAACGUCAUCAAUGUUGAACAAACGAGAUUCGACUGCACACUUCCUGGAGUCAUUCUUGAAACCAAAAAAGAACAUCGGAUUUGUGCGGACCCUGAGAAGGACUGGGUGAAGGAGAUCUUAAAAAAAACUAAACAGUCAGCAUAGAAUCAGACAACACAUUUAAAACGUCUCAUAAUGAUUUAGAUUAAGAUGUUUUUUAAAGCAAAUUGUUGUCAUUUCUUACAGAACAACUUAUAUAUUAAACAUUCUCCUGUAACUGCACUGAUUUAUUGAUGUCUUUUAUGCAAAUAAAAGCACAUU